ensembl:lncRNA
AACCAGGUCUAAACCAAGUCUAAACCAGAACUAAACCAGGUCUAAACCAGGACUAAACCAGGACUAAACCAGGUCUAAACCAGGUCUAAACCAGGUCUAAACCAGGACUAAACCAGGACUAAACCAGGUCUAAACCAGGACUAAACCAGGACUAAAUCAGGACUAAACCAGGUCUAAACCAGGACUAAACCAGGUCUAAACCAGGACUAAACCAGGUCUAAACCAGGACUAAACCAGGUCUAAACCAGGUCUAAACCAGGACUAACCCAGGACUAAACCAGGUCUAAACCAGGACUAAACCAGGACUAAACCAGUACUAAACCAGGACUAAACCAGGACUAAACCAGGUCUAAACCAGGACUAAACCAGGUCUAAACCAGGACUAAACCAGGACUAAACCAGGACUAAACCAGGUCUAAACCAGGUCUAAACCAGGACUAAACCAGGACUAAACCAGGACUAACCCAGGACUAAACCAGGUCUAAACCAGGACUAAACCAGGUCUAAACCAGGAC